GACGAACGCUGGCGGCGUGCUUAACACAUGCAAGUCGAACGGUGAAGCUCCAGCUUGCUGGAGUGGAUCAGUGGCGAACGGGUGAGUAACACGUGAGCAACCUGCCCCUGACUCUGGAAUAAGCGCUGGAAACGGCGUCUAAUACUGGAUACGAGAAGGGUCCGCAUGGGCACUUUCUGGAAAGUUUUUCGGUUGGGGAUGGGCUCGCGGCCUAUCAGCUUGUUGGUGAGGUAAUGGCUCACCAAGGCGACGACGGGUAGCCGACCUGAGAGGGCGACCGGCCACACUGGGACUGAGACACGGCCCAGACUCCUACGGGAGGCAGCAGUGGGGAAUAUUGCACAAUGGGCGAAAGCCUGAUGCAGCGACGCCGCGUGAGGGAUGACGGCCUUCGGGUUGUAAACCUCUUUCAGCAGGGAAGAAGCGAAAGUGACGGUACCUGCAGAAGAAGCACCGGCUAACUACGUG
rnacentral:rRNA from 1 species